GAAAGCCAGAACCUUAGGAAGGAGGGAGGGAAGGGAGGCACAGCGGGCGCGAGGCGGAUGGCCUAGCGUUAAGGCGUAGCGGGGCGGCGUCGGGGUCGGGGUCGGGGCCGGUCCGGGGGUACCGCUCCGCUAGGCGGGGCGAGGAGGCGGCGGACCAGAGGAGGCGCGGCGGGGAGGGCCCGGUGCCGCCGCCGCGCGCGGCGUGCCAGUGGAUGUACGGGGCGGGCCCGCUACCGUGGGGCGCGGGGCAGUGCGAGUAGGGCCCGCUGCCGUAGCCUGGGGAGCAGUGGCCGCGGCACCUCGUCCAGUACCUCCGGUACGUGCGCGGGCAGAUGAAGCUCAGGAUGCUGCAGGUGCCGCUGUACGGGCGGCACGGCGGGCGGCAGUAGCUUAGGUAGGCGGCGUUGUUCCAGACGGAGUUCCCGCCGGAGCGGUGGGGGCAGCCGCCCCCGCAGAGGAGGGAGUUGUACGUCGAGGCGUUCCUCGAGCUGGAGAAGCGGAGGGAGCAGUUGACGCGGUUGCAGGGGCCGGACGGGUGGUCCGUGGUCUUGCAGCUGUAGCAGCAGUAGUCCCUCUUGUGGCUCCCGCUCAUGAGCCCGGAGCUCGUGCUCCAGCAGGGCCCCCAGCAGCUCUCGGAGUUCCACUAGUGCUUCAAAACGAGGCUCUCCUAACGGUUUAUACGGAAGCUCAUACGAAUGGAAUUGAUGGCCUUCUUUCAGUGUCGUCACGUAUUUCGUUUGUAGUACUUUGAACGACUACCAAACAAGAACCUCAGAACGGCACUCUAACGACGAUUUAUAGGUUCAUAACUCAUAUUACUUUAGUAACAACUGUUGACGACGUACGUUGAACAAAGUUCCGGACUCGUUAAACUACAAUACCAAUGCGGAUUGGAAAUGCCGUUAAACCAACGGUUGUGUCGACGUCCAGAACAACCUCCUUGUCCACAGUACGGUCCUCCAUUACAUCCAGUCCUAGUACGGUAGAAGCUCGUUCCACGAAGACGUCCUUUACACCCUUUACUGUUAGAACAUCUCGUCGUCUUUCGUUUGGGACAGCGGGACGAGGACAGCAGACGAUACUACAACUCCGUAAACGUCAAGGGCAGCAAGCGACUGGCAGACCUUUGACGCCACUUCGCCCAGUAACGUCUACCGUUCAUGUCCUGUUUCCUAGACCCGCCGUGGUCGUGGUGGGUCCUUCAAUGACUACGUCACUAGCGAUUAGACCUAAUCCAUGGACUACGUGCGGACUUCUUAGCUAAGAAAACCUCCUGACCAAAUUUCCAGGGUUGAGGACUCACGAUAAAAAAGGCAUGUCGUAAUCUAGCCGUUAAUACAAACUCUUUAUUAACUCCUUGGGUGCUCCUAAUAAGAAGGGUGAUAUGAAACAUCGUUCCGUUUUGUGGAACACAACGUCUCCCCUAUCGACCGAUGGAAUUUAAAUUUGCCGUACAUAACUUUCAAAUAAGAGUCAAGAAUAAGCACCAAUAGUGAGGGUACCUUGGCCUUUAGACCAGGAGAAAAAGUCCUUUCCCUUAGACCAGAAGAUUUAACGUU
rnacentral:rRNA from 1 species